rnacentral:tRNA from 1 species
UAUUUAGUAGUUAAAUUGAUAACAUUAAAUUGCAAAUUUAAAAUUAAAUUAAUAUUUCUAAAUUU